rnacentral:rRNA from 1 species
AGUGAACGCUGGCGGUAGGCCUAACACAUGCAAGUCGAACGGCAGCACAGUAAGAGCUUGCUCUUACGGGUGGCGAGUGGCGGACGGGUGAGGAAUACAUCGGAAUCUACUUUUUCGUGGGGGAUAACGUAGGGAAACUUACGCUAAUACCGCAUACGACCUACGGGUGAAAGCAGGGGAUCUUCGGACCUUGCGCGAUUGAAUGAGCCGAUGUCGGAUUAGCUAGUUGGCGGGGUAAAGGCCCACCAAGGCGACGAUCCGUAGCUGGUCUGAGAGGAUGAUCAGCCACACUGGAACUGAGACACGGUCCAGACUCCUACGGGAGGCAGCAGUGGGGAAUAUUGGACAAUGGGCGCAAGCCUGAUCCAGCCAUACCGCGUGGGUGAAGAAGGCCUUCGGGUUGUAAAGCCCUUUUGUUGUGAAAGAAAAGCAGCAGGUUAAUACCCCGCUGUUCUGACGGUACCCAAAGAAUAAGCACCGGCUAAUUUCGUG